rnacentral:rRNA from 1 species
GAUGAACGCUAGCGACAGGCUUAACACAUGCAAGUCGAGGGGAAACGACAUCGAAAGCUUGCUUUUGAUGGGCGGCGACCGGCGCACGGGAGAGUAACGCGAAUCCAACCUGCCCACCACUUGGGGAUAACCAUUCGAAAGUAAGACUAAUACCCAAUGACGUCUCUAGAAGACAUCUGAAAGAGAUGAAAGAUUUAUCGGUGAUGGAUGGGGAUGCGUCUGAUUAGCUGGUUGGCGGGGUAACGGCUCACCAAGGCGACGAUCAGUAGGGGUUCUGAGAGGCAGGUCCCCCACAUUGGAACUGCGACCCAGUCUCCACUGCUACGCAGCGCAGCAGUAUGGACCGUUAGUCACGGGACGCGGGUCUGACCACGCCGCGUAGCGUGCAGGAGGACGGCCCUCUUGGUUGUAAACUGCUUUUAUAAGGGAAUAAUGUGAGUCUCGAGGGACUUUUUGCCUGUACCUUAUGAAUAAGGACCGGCUAAUUCCGUG